rnacentral:lncRNA from 1 species
AAACAACAAAAUUCCAAGCUGAGAAAGGCAAAGCUAUCGAUGAGAAGGACGACCUCAAACUUCGAGCCCUGAACGACAGAAUGGUCAACGUCGAAAAAGCCUUCAUUACUGCGCCUGGUUUACCAAACCAGCCAAUCAUAAGGCACGUUAUAUUCUCAGUCCACGAUGCAUCCGUUAAAUUCCCCGGGAUUUCAGAUCUUGUUUUUAAACAGAAUAAGACGGAUCAGGAUUGGCUGGAUAUUAAGAAGCAAACAUCCAUUGUGUUCAAAGCGAUUUCGGAGGCAACAGAUACUCUGAAAGCUGACGCGAACUAGAAAGUCAACUGUCUUGUUAAAAGAUGACAUUUCAUUUAGUUAGUAGCAAAUAAAAUACGGCAACUGCUGCAUAUCUGUUUAGGCUAUUAGUAACAGAAAUGCUUUUUACUUUGCCAAAGUAAAUAUUUUUACCUAUUAGUAUAAAUAGAAGUAUUUUUAUACUUUAAAAAUAAACUACUUUAAACUGUUGCAUAUCUGUAAUAGAAUAGGG